UACGGGGGGGGCAAGCGUUGUUCGGAAUUACUGGGCGUAAAGGGUUUGUAGGUGGCUUGUUAAGUCAGACGUGAAAUCCCUCAGCUUAACUGGGGAACUGCGUCUGAGACUGGUGAGCUUGAGUGCAGGAGAGGAACGCGGAAUUCCAGGUGUAGCGGUGAAAUGCGUAGAUAUCUGGAGGAACACCGGUGGCGAAGGCGGCAUCCUGGACCGACACUGACGCUGAGGAGCGAAAGCCAGGGGAGCAAACGGG
rnacentral:rRNA from 1 species